rnacentral:rRNA from 1 species
AGAGUUUGAUCCUGGCUCAGGAUGAACGCUAGCUACAGGCUUAACACAUGCAAGUCGAGGGGAAACGACAUCGAAAGCUUGCUUUUGAUGGGCGUCGACCGGCGCACGGGUGAGUAACGCGUAUCCAACCUGCCCAUCACUUGGGGAUAACCUUGCGAAAGUAAGACUAAUACCCAAUGACGUCUCUAGAAGACAUCUGAAAGAGAUUAAAGAUUUAUCGGUGAUGGAUGGGGAUGCGUCUGAUUAGCUUGGUUGGCGGGGUAACGGCCCACCAAGGCGACGAUCGAGUAGGGGUUCUGAGAGGAAGGUCCCCCACAUUGGAACUGAGACACGGUCCAAACGUCCGUACGGGAGGCA